rnacentral:lncRNA from 1 species
UUUACAUUUUUAUUUGUAAAUAAUUUUAAAAAUAGAGGUAAAUGUGACUUCAAAAAUAAUUAGAAUAAUUAAAGUAUCUUGAUAGACAAUUUGUACUCAAGCUUAAGUUCUUUAAAAUUGUGUUAUUUACAAGACUAAAAAGAACAUAUUUUAAAGGAUACAUUACAAUUUGAAGUACAGUGGGGAUCUUGAAUCAGCAUGCAAAUACUGUUUAUAUAGAAUUACAAACCACAGAUCCCAAAACAGGAGAAGGGAACUUUCAUAACGUUGAUAGAAAUAAUCAUCUACUGAUUGGAGACGACCAAUGCUUAUUGUUAUGUUGGCAGUAUUGAAGGGACAGUACUGAAUACUAAUAUCAAAUAUUAAUUGGCACAAACAAUGAUAUAAAAGGUAAAACAUAAUGAGCAAGUCAAACAAAACUUAAAGGUGUAAAUGAAUGAAACCUGUAUAAGCUGUGAACAGAUGAAGUGUCUGUGCUGUAUUGUAUUGUGAAGUUCAAAGUACUCUUUGAACUACUUGCUGGUCGUACAUAUUUGUUGUCUUAAAAAUAAUAUCAAUUAAAAUCCGGACAAAUAGCGAAAACUGAAAAGUACCAUAGUUCAGGUACUAGUAGUUUGUAUAUAUAUUUGUAUAUCUACCAGGUUUAUUAUGUGUAAAUGUUUACGUUGAGAACCAGCAG